rnacentral:rRNA from 1 species
AAAAUAUAAUUUAUAAUAUAAACUAUUAUAUAUGUAUGUAUUUUACUAAUUUUCUUGAGGAUAAGCUCAAGAAAAAGUUAAGGAUUUUUUAGUUAAAUUUGCUGUAUAGGCUUAAGAUUGGCCAUUACAAGAGUUUUUUAUAAAAUAGCAAUUUUAAUUUUAUAGAUAAAUAUAAUUAUAAACUAACUUCUUACGGGGAUAAGAACUUUAACUUAAAUAAGUUUUAUGCCUAUGCUAGAAUGAGUAUUAAAACUCAACUAUAAAAGAUCUAUCUAUAUUGUAUCUUCUCUCAAAAAAAUAAAAAAAAUAAAUUAAUUAGAAGGAACUCGGCAAAUUCAGUUGUUCCGCCUGUUUAUCAAAAACAUGGCUCUUUGAUCAUACAAAUAUAGAGAGUCGAGCCUGCCCAGUGAAAAUUUUUCAACGGCCGCGGUACCCUGACCGUGCGAAGGUAGCAUAAUCAUUUGCCUUAUAAUUGAAGGCUAGUAUGAAUGGUUUGACGAGAACAACAUUGUCUCCUUUUUACUCUCAAGAAUUUAACUUUUAGGUGAAGAGGCCUAAAUUUUAUUGAAGGACAAGAAGACCCUGUCGAGCUUAAAAGAUAUUAUAGAGUCUUAUAUAUUUUUAAAUAAAUUUUCUAUUAAGGUUUUUAGUUGGGGCGACUAAGGAACAAAAAAAGCUUCUUGUUGAUGGCAAACAGUCAUGUUUAGAUCCAGCAAAUGGCUGAUCAAAGGAAUUAGUUACCGCAGGGAUAACAGCAUAAUCUCUCUUGAGAGACCUAAUCGAAAGAGGGGGUUGUGACCUCGAUGUUGGACUAGAAUAUCCUAAAGGUGCAGAAGCCUUUAAGG